AUACGGAGGACGCGAGCGUUGUCCGGAAUGAUUGGGCGUAAAGGGCGCGUAGGCGGCCCGGUAAGUCUGGAGUGAAAGUCCUGUUUUUAAGAUGGGAAUUGCUUUGGAUACUGUCGGGCUUGAGUGCAGGAGAGGUAAGUGGAAUUCCCAGUGUAGCGGUGAAAUGCGUAGAGAUUGGGAGGAACACCAGUGGCGAAGGCGACUUACUGGACUGUAACUGACGCUGAGGCGCGAAAGUGUGGGGAGCAAACAGGAUUAGAUACCCUGGUAGUCCACACUGUAAACGAUGAAUGCUAGGUGUAGGGGGUAUCGACCCCUUCUGUGCCGCAGUCAACACAAUAAGCAUUCCGCCUGGGGAGUACGGCCGCAAGGUUGAAACUCAAAUGAAUUGACGGGG
rnacentral:rRNA from 1 species